GACGAACGCUGGCGGCGUGCUUAACACAUGCAAGUCGAACGGAAAGGCCCUGCUUUUGUGGGGUGCUCGAGUGGCGAACGGGUGAGUAACACGUGAGUAACCUGCACUUGACUUUGGGAUAACUUCAGGAAACUGGGGCUAAUACCGGAUAGGAGCUCCUGCUGCAUGGUGGGGGUUGGAAAGUUUCGGCGGUUGGGGAUGGACUCGCGGCUUAUCAGCUUGUUGGUUGGGUAGUGGCUUACCAAGGCUUUGACGGGUAGCCGGCCUGAGAGGGUGACCGGCCAAAUUGGGACGGGGAUACGGCCCAGACUACUACGGGAGGCAGCAGUGGGGAAUAUUGCACAAUGGGCGGAAGCCUGAUGCAGCAACGCCGCGUGCGGGAUGACGGCCUUCGGGUUGUAAUCCGCUUUCGCCUGUGACGAAGCGUGAGUGACGGUAAUGGGUAAAGAAGCACCGGCUAACUACGUG
rnacentral:rRNA from 1 species